rnacentral:tRNA from 1 species
GCCUGGGUGGCUCAGUCGGUUGAGCAUCUGACUGACGCAGGUCAUGAUCUCACAGUUUGUGGGUUCGAGCCCCCACAUCGGGCU